UGCGGCCAACAGUCGAACUGAAAAAGCCGGCUGCACACAGCACAAUUUCAACCGGCAGCAACUGCGUGCCAGAAUUCUGCCUAGCGAUACGAACAAUCACAAAGCCGGACGCACACGAUGGCAGAUGGGAAAAAUUGGCGGUAUUUAUUAACGCCAGGUUAAUGAAAGAAUAAAGUCAAAGAAAACACGCGGACGAGGAUCCCGGAGAAGCUUUGCCGGUUUACCUCAUGGUACGGUGGACGGUACGUUUACGGUACAUGGACGCCACCCCAAAGAUGAAAUACGGAUACCUAAUUGGCCAAGACGCGGCGUGGUAUAAUAAUUAUGUUUCAUACAUAUUAAUGCAUUUUCUACUUUUUUCUAGAUUUCCCUGUGUAUGAUAUUCCCAUAUUAAUAGUUCUAACACCAUACAAAGACAUUUAAGGGAAGCAGGGCUAUCUAGUAGAAGAGCCGCUAAAAAACCGCUAAUCAGCAGGAAGAACCAGAAGGCCCAACUUAACUUUGCGAAAAAAUAUUUGUAUUGGACAACCAACGACUGGAAAAGAGUUCUUUGUACUGGUGAAAGUAAAUUUAAUUUAUUUUAAUCUGAUGGGAUAUUACGGCUACAUCGCCCAGAACGCAAAAGAUUUGAUUCAAGUAUACAAAGUCUACUGUAAAGCAUGGUGGUGGAUCCUGAAUGAUAUGGGGUUGCUUUUCUGGGUACGGUUUAGGACCAUUACAUAUUAUUGGUGGUAUUAUAGACUUAAAAAAUGUAAUGAUACUAUUUUCUGAAGAUAAUUUAUCAUUGACCUGGAUAUAUCAGCAGGAUAACGACCCUAAACAUAAAUCAAAGGUACAGUGGAGCCGCACUAAUCCGAACCCCCAAAAACAUAGGGGAAGUUUAAGUUAGCGGAGUGUUUGGAUCAUCCGAGACAAUGUUUUUUUAAUAAAGAACUAUGGUAUAUUAACUAUAACAUAUAAAUAAGUUAAUAUUCUAGUAUUUAAUUUAUUUAUUCUUAUAGUCUUCGCACCAGCAUAUUAUCUUGUGAAUUUAUGAUAUUUUCAUCCGCUCUUUCUUAAAUGCCUGUAGUGCUUUAUUAUCACUAAUUCUCUGAAUUCCCGGUUUAUUAUCCCCCUCUCCAAGAUAGUUGAAAAACUUGCAAAAAUCAGAAUUUUGUCUUUUUUGCAACAUAAUUGCAUUUUAUCUGCAAAUCAGUUUGGAUUUCAAACGUGAAAAGGGACUCAUAACGCUGUUUUCGGCUUUUUCGAGAGUGUCUAUGUGUCCUUAAAUUCUGGAGAGUCCGCGGCGGCAGUGUUUUGCGAUUUAUCCAAGGCAUUUGAUUGUGUAGAUUAUGGAAUACUGCUGUCUAAGCUCAAUAAUUAUGGCUUUAGGGGUGUGGCAUUGCAAUGGCUGGAAUCCUAUCUGUCUAAUCGUACCCAAAGAGUUACAGUAUCUGGAUGUUUAUCCGAUUCCAGAUCCCUUAAAACUGGAGUACCUCAGGGUUCAGUGUUAGGACCACUAUUAUUUUUGCUCUAUGUAAAUGAUUUGGGUUCAUUAAAACUGCAGGGCAAAGUGGUUCAGUUUGCUAAUACCACCAUUUUAUGAAAUCAUAGAGAUUCUGAUAAUGUUAGAGCCCAGGUUUUUAAGGAUCUUAAGAUUUAAUUGGAGUGGUGUGCUGCAAACAGGCUUGUAUUUAAUGCGGGCAAAACCUUUAUUAUGGGAUUUAAGUGUGAAGUUCAGGGCCUUAUGUUUAGUGAAAACUCCCCCUUGCAAUACAAAGAAAGCUGUAAGUUCCUUGGUAUUACCAUUGAUAGUCGCCUUCGCUUCGAAGAUCAUAUCUUAAAUCUUGCAUCAAAAUUAUCCUCUGGAUGCUUUGCAGUAAGAAUGGCGGGGCAUGAGCUGGGAGGGGUAGUUGCAGGUUCAGAGUACUUUUCUCUUAGUAAGUCCCAUCUUCAUUAUUGGUUGCCUUUUUGGGGUUUAAGCAACAAGGGAUUAUUAAACAUAAUUUUUGUGAUUCAAAAAAAGGCAGAUACCUAUGUUCCGCUGGGUUAAGACAAUCUUGUAAACCUCUCUUUAUAUCUCAAAAAAUCCUAACACUUUUUUCUCUUUUUUUUCUUAGAAACAGCUACUCUUAUUCAUAAAUAUCCUAAACCUCCCUCUAACACUGGUCAUAUGACUCGCCAGGUUAACGAUUUUCCCUUACCAAUCCCUCACUUAUAUACCUAAAAAUAAAUAUACCUAAAAAUUUACAACCAUGUUCCUCUAUGUAUCAGACAAAUUUUAGAAGUUAAGAAAUUCAAAAAGAAAUUAAAUUCACUUUUAUUAUCCUAGGCAUAUUAUAGCCUUGACGAUUUUUUUAAUGAUAUAUUUUGACCUGUGCUCUGACAUCAUUUUAGUGUUUUAGUUUUGUCUUCUAUUAAAUAUUUUAAUUUACUUCCUCUAAAUUCUGUUUUAUUGACAGCUUUACUUAUUUUUUAAUCAAAUUUAUCAAAAAGAUGCUUUUUUAUUUUUUUAAUCUGUUUUGUUAUAAUUAAUUUUGGUAAUGUGUGUAAAUUUUAUGGUAAAAUGUUUUAGAUGUUAUGUUUGUUUGAAAUUUGAAAUUUAAAGUGAAUUUGGAAUUUUUUAGUUUUUAGGAUGCUUGUACACAAGAUUUUGUUUUGUCUUACGUAAUAUAGCACAUUUUCUUUCUUUCUUUCUUUCUAUUUUCUUUCUCGCCAUCUUGUUCCUGAUCCCCUGUUUCCAUGGAUAUUACAUUUCUUCGUCAGGGAAAAUUUCAUGCGAUAAUAAUUCAGCAUCUGCCACUCCCCUUAUAUCUUGAGCAAUUGAUUCAUUAAAAACACCUCCAGUAAUUUAGUUUAAUAAUGCACUUAAGGGGAUGUCAUUUUCUAUAUAAAAAUCUUCAGUUUUGAGUGAGCAAACUUCUGGCAACAGCGGUUACCAUGACUUCUUAAUUCAAUUCCUAAAAAUAUUGUUCGAACAAAAUGAUAAAGCAAAACCACAUCUGGUAAGGUAAUAUUUUUAAGUAUUUGAUCAAUAUCAUUUCCCAUUUCAUUUUGAGACACAAUCUAGUUCAAUAGUUUAUUGCGAUAGUAGAUUUUUAUAUUUUAAAGGACAUUCUGAUCCAUAAGCUGAAUCAGUGCAGUACAAUGUGGAGGCAAAAAAACAACAAAAAUCCUACCAUCUUAACUUUUCUGAAGGAUGACCCAGGGAAUUAUUUAUUAAAAGCAAAGUCUUUUCUUCUAAAUUGUUAGCUCGAAGGUACGGUCUUACAUCAGGAACAAAUUCAUUCUUAAACCAUUAAAGGAAAAUUUAUUUUUCAACCCAUGCAUUUUUUUUGGUCUCUAUAAAAAAUUGCAAGGAUAGUAGAAUCAAACACACGUGCCUUUUUUGCCUUUUCAAUAAUAAACAAUCGAAGUUUCAAUAAGUCGAAGCUCUCCAGAAGUAUUUGCGUGAGGCAAUUAUCUACUGCAGUUUCUUCCUAAGGGUUCUAUAGCUGUUUCAUCAAUUGAAUUUCCGUUUUCAAAUCAGUUUUUCAUCUGCAAUUUUCAAUUGUCUGAUCAUGAUGCUUUUUAUCGAGCCAACCUCAGCUAGCAUUGAAAUCUUCAGAUGGUGACAUUCUUUCAUGGAAAAACGAGCUUUUCGCGUUAUUAGUUCCCCAGAGUUUCGGUCUCAUCAUUAACUAACGAAAUGACGAGACCGAGGUCGACCGCUCAGAUUACAGAGAUUAUCGGAUUAGGCCGGGUUCGGAUUAGUGCGGUUCCUCAGUAAUUCAAAAAUGGUUUUAUCAGAAAAGAUUAGGGCUAUAAACUUUCCUGCACAAGUCCCGACCUUAAUCCUAUUGAAAACCUCUAGGAGGAACUAGACCGGCGUAUAAGACAACAUCAGCUGAGCAAUAAAAAUUAUUUAAUACAAGUUUUGCAAGAAUACGGGAAUCCUAUUGGAGAAGAAACCAUUAUGAAACUUUUGGAAUCUAUGCCAAACCAAUGUCGCGAGGUUAUAGCCAACAAGGGAUAUACCCACAAAUAUUUUUAUUAGCUUAGAAAUAGGUAUUAUGUUAAAAUAUGUAAUAAAAAAAUUGUUUCUUUACUUUUGUCAGUAGAGUAUUUUGUUUAUUUAAAAAAAAUCUUUAGUUUUCGUUAUAUAGUUUAUUACUUUACCGAAAUAAAAUCUUUAAAAAUA
rnacentral:lncRNA from 1 species